rnacentral:rRNA from 1 species
GGAAGCGAUCAUACCAGCACUAAAGCACCGGAUCCCAUCAGAACUCCGAAGUUAAGCGUGCUUGGGCGAGAGUAGUACAAGGAUGGGUGACCUCUUGGGAAGUCCUCGUGUUGCAUUCC